AGAGUUUGAUCAUGGCUCAGAUUGAACGCUGGCGGCAGGCCUAACACAUGCAAGUCGAGCGGUAGAGAGAAGCUUGCUUCUCUUGAGAGCGGCGGACGGGUGAGUAAUGCCUAGGAAUCUGCCUGGUAGUGGGGGAUAACGUCCGGAAACGGACGCUAAUACCGCAUACGUCCUACGGGGGAAAGCAGGGGACCUUCGGGCCUUGCGCUAUCAGAUGAGCCUAGGUCGGAUUAGCUAGUUGGUGGGGUAAUGGCUCACCAAGACGACGAUCUGUAACUGGUCUGAGAGGAUGAUCAGUCACACUGGAACUGAGACACGGUCCAGACUCCUACGGGAGGCAGCAGUGGGGAAUAUUGGACAAUGGGCGAAAGCCUGAUCCAGCCAUGCCGCGUGUGUGAAGAAGGUCUUCGGAUUGUAAAGCACUUUAAGUUGGGAGGAAGGGCAGUAAAUUAAUACUUUGCUGUUUUGACGUUACCGACAGAAUAAGCACCGGCUAACUCUGUGCCAGCAGCCGCGGUAAUACAGAGGGUGCAAGCGUUAAUCGGAAUUACUGGGCGUAAAGCGCGCGUAGGUGGUUCGUUAAGUUGGAUGUGAAAUCCCCGGGCUCAACCUGGGAACUGCAUUCAAAACUGACGAGCUAGAGUAUGGUAGAGGGUGGUGGAAUUUCCUGUGUAGCGGUGAAAUGCGUAGAUAUAGGAAGGAACACCAGUGGCGAAGGCGACCACCUGGACUGAUACUGACACUGAGGUGCGAAAGCGUGGGGAGCAAACAGGAUUAGAUACCCCGGUAGUCCAA
rnacentral:rRNA from 1 species